UGUUAAUACCCUCUACAGUAGUUGGCGCUAUGUACCACAACGCGUUGCGAGCCACGUUCAUUAGGGGAGAAGAAGAAGAAUCGCCACUGAAGAAGAGGAAGAUUUGAACUGGAGUCGGUCUUGGUUAUCGUUGGUGGAGACCAGAGAGCCGGAGAUUGACGAAGUUUCAAAGAAAAAGAAGGAUAACCUUCUCGUUGUAAAUUCCAUUAGACACAGAAGAAAAAGAUGGCAGCUUCCUUCCUGGGACUAGUCGGGAGAGAGAACUCACAACACAGCACAGCCCAUCUUCACCAGUUCCAUCGAAUGAGGACACGGAGGCCACUGACUCUAAUGAGGAUGUCGAUAAGCAACAAGAGCCAGACCCAGAGCCAGCUGUCUCCAGCACUUUUGCUCAUCCAAGAGGACCCAGUGGUAGGUCUACUUACCCGGAACUUGCUAGUUAGCUGCAGUUAUUGUCUAAUAAUCUUAAAACUCAUCUCAGAACCACAAUGGCUGAUGACAGGUUAAGUCACCUUGGAACUCUCAGUAUUGAGUUAAGGAGGGCACGUGCCCUCAACAUGGAUGACUUUGUGAAACAUUUUGCGGCUUCUCAAAAUAACCGAAGGAUUAUGCUUUUCUAAACCUUUUGAGAGAGAGUGAGAGAGAGUGAGAGAGAGAGUGUGAGAGAGAACUAUGAAUAUG